UUGCUAGCGGGUCUCGGAAAGGCUACACAGAAAACAAUCAGGAGCAUGGCUGCCAUUUUGCAUGGCAUAAUAGGGCGGAAUAAAGUCACAAAAUAGAUCCUCAUCUCCAGAGAUCACAGCACAUGCGAGAUCAGUGGUCGAGGUUCUUGGAGCUCACUCCUCUCCGUCCAUUCUGCCAUUUCACUGAGUUCCUGCCAAAUUUCAGCUGCCUCUCCCUAGGACGUUCUCCUCACACCAUAGGAGACUGUUUGCAAGCUUCAGAUUAGGAAUACUAAAAUACCUGUUUCUCGCAAGAGGAAUUCCCAGUGGACGACUGCAAAGACUCCAGCUUCAUCAGGCUCUCCACAGUGACUCUCCAGAAACCAUCCAGUGUUCAGCAUCCCUGGAACUGCUGAGGCAUCUAACCUCGUGAACUGUCCAGCUACUGGGUUCUUGGCCUCGCCAGUGUGAAGUCAGCCAUUGCAACUACCAACCCACUAUCACCUAAGCUAAUUGAAUAAAUGACUUGGUAAUAUCUA